rnacentral:lncRNA from 1 species
CUGUCUCUACCAGUUUUAAACUCAAGAACAAAACCCAGAAAUCAGUUAAAAAACCACCAACUACUUCACCGUUGAUCGCAGGCUUUCGCUACUUGCUGGUGUCUUCGGUGAUCGUGAAAGCCCAAACAACCCAUUUAACAAAUCUCUUCUUCCUUCUUUUCAUGUUCUUUCUAAAACGCUAAAGCCUAAAAAUUCGUUUCACAGACCAACGCUUCGGCCUCCAUCGAUCACCGAUCGAACACAAGCAGCUACCACCCAAAAUCUUCACUUCCAAAUACUCUUUCUUGUCUUAACGUCCCAUAAAAAAUCCAAUGGAUUCAAAACCUAAAACCCAAGACCUACGGCAUCUCUCCACCGAAACACCACUGCCUUUCGCUGUGUAAUUGUGCUUUCUUGCUUGCUGUGAUUUUGUUUCAAUUUUCUGUUUAUUUGCUUGUUUUCUGAUUCCGAGUGUGUUUGAGUUUAUUGCUAAGUUGAUUUUGACGCUGUGUUAAAUUGCCUUGUUUUUGUGUCAAAUACUCGUUGCCUUCCAUUGUUGGUUGAUUUCUGGCUAUUUGCUAUUGAGAAUUGCUUCUGAAAAUUAGGCUUGUUUGAUCUGCUAAACUUUUCUUGUCUGAUUAUUGAUUAAGGAUUUUGGUCCCUUGAAUUUUGUAACUAUCUUCCCCUGUCGAAUUCCUUUGCUUUGUUUGAUCUUCUGUCUUUUGUUUCAAUCAGUUUUUUUUUCUCAAUGGAUUCAGUUUUUACUUGUUAAAGCUCUUAAUUGCUUCUUGUCUUGCUUUUGAUUUUGCAGGUUGGCUGGAAAUUGAAUUCAAAUUUAUUUAA